AACGAACGCUGGCGGCAGGCUUAACACAUGCAAGUCGAGCGCCCCGCAAGGGGAGCGGCAGACGGGUGAGUAACGCGUGGGAACGUACCUUUUGGUCCGGAACAACUCCGGGAAACUGGAGCUAAUACCGGAUAAGCCCUAACGGGGAAAGAUUUAUCGCCGAAAGAUCGGCCCGCGUCUGAUUAGCUAGUUGGUGAGGUAACGGCUCACCAAGGCGACGAUCAGUAGCUGGUCUGAGAGGAUGAUCAGCCACACUGGGACUGAGACACGGCCCAGACUCCUACGGGAGGCAGCAGUGGGGAAUAUUGGACAAUGGGCGCAAGCCUGAUCCAGCCAUGCCGCGUGAGUGAUGAAGGCCUUAGGGUUGUAAAGCUCUUUUGUCCGGGAAGAUAAUGACUGUACCGGAAGAAUAAGCCCCGGCUAACUUCGUG
rnacentral:rRNA from 1 species